AACUAGGCCUACAUGCCCAACUCUUUCCCCAAAUCUUUUCCCAAAUUUUCAAUCUUUCCCGCCCUAGUCUCAUCCCCUAUGCCUUGCCGCCCCUUGCCCUGCCUUGCCUUUACUUCCUCCCUCUUCCUGGUCUCUCUCUGCUUAUCUUUCCCUCCCUUAGAUCUGCUCUCAAUCAAAUCAAAAGAAAUCUAAUUUUAUGAUUUAAGGAAAAAAGGCUUCUAUUUGGGUCGUUGAAGGAGACGGGAGGCAAGGGAGGACACGAGGAAGAAGGGUCGAAUGGCAGCACUGGAAACAACAUUAAUGACAACAAUAACGACGAUCGUAAACAUGGGUAUAGCCGAAGCAUCAGCUAUGGCGGGGACGAGAAGGGGAUUUUUGAAUAUUUAAGAUUACUCCACGCAGAGGUAGACCCUCACUUGAAGCUUUGGCUUGUGUUGGAAACAUUGCAAGAGCCAUGGGACCUGCAAUGGAGUCCCAUGUCCGUUGUCUCCUUGAUGUUAUGUUUUCUGCUGGUCUUUCUCCUACUCUUGUUGAAGCACUUGAGCAAAUAACUAUGAGCAUUCCAUCUUUGCUACCCACUAUUCAAGAUCGACUUCUUGAUUCCAUAUCCUUGGUUCUUUCAAAGUCCCCAUAUUUUCAAGCAAGGCCAGCUGCUGCCUUGGUUCAAGGCACUGCUGCAAAUAUUCCUCAGCCAGUGUCUGAGCUUAGUGGUUCAGCCCUGGUUCAACUUGCUUUGCAGACUCUUGCUCGGUUUAAUUUCAGGGGACAUGAACUCCUUGAGUUUGCAAGAGAAUCAGUUGUUGUGUAUCUUGAUGAUGAGGAUGGAGCCACACGAAAAGAUGCUGCCUUAUGCUGUUGCAAAUUAGUUACAAAUUCUUUUUCCGGUGUUGUGUGCAUGCAAUUUAGUUCCAGUCGGUCAAACCGAGCUGGAGGAAAAUGAAGGCAUCUUGUUGAGGAGCUUGUGGAGAAGAUUCUCAUUGCAGCUGUUGCAGAUGCUGAUGUUACUGUUCGCCAUUCUAUAUUUUCCUCUCUCCAUGGAAAUAGAGGUUUCGAUGACUUUUUAGCACAGGCUGAUAGUUUAAGUGCAGUUUACGCUGCUUUAAAUGAUGAGGAAAAAGACUUGAAAAAUCAUGAGAGAAGCUAAGAUCUGAGAAGAGAUGUUAGAUCAGGAAGCUUCAGUUCGUCGAGCAAGGGCAGAAGCAUCUCUUGCUGAUGGUAUCUAAUGGGGCAUUGGAGAAGACGCUAUCGAAGAGCAGAGGUUUGUGUAACUUGUAUUUUUAAUCAGAUUGAAAUACCUUGAAACUGAUAAAAUUAGCUUAGAUGCAACUUUGUAUGGUUGUUUUGUUAUUAACAUUUUAUGCUAUACAUAUAAUUCUGUUAACUAGGAAUUUUUUUGUU